rnacentral:rRNA from 1 species
AAGAACCCUGGUGCUAGCUACACAUGCAGUCGCAGGGUAACAUGAGGAAAGCUUGCUUUCCUUGAUGACGACUGGCGCACGGGUGAGUAACGCGUAUCCAACCUUCCCAUAACUACGGGAUAACCCGUUGAAAGACGGCCUAAUACCGUAUGAUAUCGUUUGCUGACAUCAAAUAACGAUUAAAGGUUUAGCGGUUAUGGAUGGGGAUGCGUCUGAUUAGCUUGUUGGCGGGGUAACGGCCCACCAAGGCUACGAUCAGUAGGGGUUCUGAGAGGAAGGUCCCCCACAUUGGAACUGAGACACGGUCCAAACUCCUACGGGAGGCAGCAGUGAGGAAUAUUGGUCAAUGGGCGAGAGCCUGAACCAGCCAAGUAGCGUGCAGGAUGACGGCCCUAUGGGUUGUAAACUGCUUUUAUGUGGGGAUAAAGUGCGCGACGUGUCAUGCAUUGCAGGUACCACAUGAAUAAGGACCGGCUAAUUCCGUGCCAGCACC